UCCUACGGGAGGCAGCAGUGGGGAAUAUUGCACAAUGGGCGGAAGCCUGAUGCAGCAACGCCGCGUGCGGGAUGACGGCCUUCGGGUUGUAAACCGCUUUCAUCCAUGACGAAGCUUUUUGUGACGGUAGUGGAAGAAGAAGCACCGGCUAACUACGUGCCAGCAGCCGCGGUGAUACGUAGGGUGCGAGCGUUGUCCGGAUUUAUUGGGCGUAAAGAGCUUGUAGGCGGUUUGUCGCGUCGGGAGUGAAAACUCAGGGCUUAACCCUGAGCCUGCUUUCGAUACGGGCAGACUUGAGGAAGGUAGGGGAGAAUGGAAUUCCUGGUGGAGCGGUGGAAUGCGCAGAUAUCAGGAGGAACACCAGUGGCGAAGGCGGUUCUCUGGACCUUUCCUGACGCUGAGAAGCGAAAGCGUGGGGAGCAAACAGGCUUAGAUACCCUGGUAGUCCACGCCGUAAACGGUGGGWACUAGGUGUGGGGGACAUUCCACGUUCUCCGUGCCGCAGCUAACGCAUUAAGUACCCCGCCUGGGGAGUACGGCCGCAAGGCUAAAACUCAAAGGAAUUGACGGA
rnacentral:rRNA from 1 species